AAAUACAAUGUCCUGGUGGCCCUCAAGAUUUGGACACAGUGGAAAUGAGGACCAUCCCAAGCGUCAGGCAAUGGGCUGGUAACUUCUGCAGAGUUGGGCUCUGCCGAGGGGACAGCGGGAGGCGAGCGGAGCAUCCUGGUGGUGGCUGGAAUCCCUGUCACCAUAGCGACCGGAGGCAGUCCUUAAAUAUAGAUGCGGUUCUUCCCCGUACCCUCGCUGUCCUUUUGUCUGUAACAGAGCAACAAAUGGGCUCGACUUCCUUCUGCAUGCAACCUGAUGGAGCCAUGAAGGUCAGAAAUGUGCCAGCUUUAUGGUUUUAUAAGCCCUGCCACGUGCAGUGUUUGAGGCAGAGACCCACUGAUAGUGGGUUUGGUCCUGCUCCAUUCACUGCUCCGUGUGUGCACUCCAAGUGCUGUUUGAGCCCGGUGAAAAUCCUCAGAUGGGUUGGGCUGAAAGAAAGAAUCCAUUAGCAAGGCUGGAAAUCACUUAAUUCCUGCAGCUCCUGGAGGAGAUGCCCCAUUUUGCAGCAAAGGCUAGGGAUGAAGUGAGCAUCCUUGCUCUUGCGUGGCCCCAGCCAGGCUUCCCGUGCUGGCACGGGUGGCACAGCCGUGCAGGAAGGUCGUGCUUGUGAUUUCCAGGCUGUUCCUGCGGGGCAGAGAUGUCUCUUACCAGGGCUGCCAGCUGCUGCUGCCCCUGCUGUUGAGGUCUGUGACUUCCAUGGCUGUGAAGUGGAGCACCUGACCCCCCAGCAUGAAAUGGGUUCUCUCCUGACGAUGCUGUGCUGAUGGGAAAUGUUUUAGGGGCUUUGUGGUCUUUCACAGGCUGUAAGUAUGCACCCAAAGAGGUUUCUGGGAGGAGAUGGCACUGUAUUGAGCAGUAAGGAGGGACUGAGAUCCAGCUCUUGGAAGCUGAAGCUAGACAAAAUGAGACCAGCACUAAAUGUCCAUUGUUAACAGCCUCAUUGACCACUAGAUUGGUGAACUGAGAACACUCUUGUUACCAUGAAGUUCAAGUUAUUACGGGGGAUAGAAAGCACAGCAGCUGCUCCCUGCUGCCGGCCUGCUCCCUGCAGCAGCUCUGUGUGUGCCCCGGGUCCCACUCUGCUGCCCCAAGAGCUCUGCCUGCUCUUUGCUGGGGCACAUCCCCAUUGUUUUUACUGGUUUCCAGCUUUUUUUUUUUUUUUUUUUUUUUUUUUUUUCCCUCCGGGGUCUUCCUCCCUGUGACACCCUGCUGCCGUCCCCUCUCCCUGAGCACCAGCAGAGUGCUAAGUGUCAACGAACGCAUGCUGUGUGCCACGCAGGGGCUGGCUGCACCAGCACCGGACUGAACAGCUGGGCCAGGACGUCGCUGGCAUCAGGAAUUUAAACCUGACGGAUUCCUCGGUGCGAACGGUGCAGGGAAAGCAGAUCUCUAGGCGGGAGGAGUGGCUCAGUACCGCAGCGUGCUGUGGGAAGCAGGAGUCAGCGUGCGUGCUGCAGAGGCGCGGGCAGGCAGGAGCAUCCCGCAGUGUGCAGUGAGCCUGCGGAGCGCUGCCCUCAUCCUGCUGCAAUUCGUGUGCACCCAGCCCAGGGGCAACUCCCAUGCACCCACCUGAAGCCCCUGCACCCUCCCUGCAGUGCUGAAACCCCUUAGGCUGGGAAAAAUCAUAGCGACUAAAAUUCACCGAAUGCCUUUGGUAUCUCCGGUGUGUGACUACGCACCAAACCCACCUGUUAAGGUUGUUCAUUCCUCAGCGCUCUGCACAGGUUCUUUUAGAAAUUCACACUUUUUAAUUAAAUACGGGGUUUUACGCCAUAGAUCAGGAAGAGUCCCCAAACUACAGGAAUUAUUUACUGGUGCAGUAUAGUGGGAAAGCUCCCGGGUUCCUGGCUUCACUGUAGCAUAGUUUCAUUCUGUUAGCUAAAUCGUUGUAAUUUCAUUGUUAGCUUAUUAUAUUAGAAGGGUAUUCGGGCCACAAAACCAAGUGACUGAUUAAUUUGAUUUGCUGAAUUUAAGGUUUUCCCGUAAAAUCCUAGUUCUUCUCCCUUGUUCAUCUGUGGAGAAGUGCAAUCUGGAUCAAGUUUAUUUUUUGUUGUAUUUUUUUUUUUUUCCUCUUAAUAACAGUCCUGUCUCUGUUAGUAUUGGGUACUUUUCUCUUGAUCUAGUCACUGAAAAUGGCUAAUUUUCCUGAAAUUGUCUUUGAUUCCUACUAGAGCCCAAUAAUCAGCAUGGAAAAUUCCAACCUGAGCAGUGUUAAUUUUGGCAAAACCUGAGUACAAAAGAACUCUGGUGCAUCAAGCAUCAGAUGCACCUGUUAAAUGCAGCCGUAGGAGGCUGCUCUUGUGAACCAGCUGUUUUCUGGUUUCAGAUUUAUUUUCCUCCUGCUGACCUCUUCUGAUUUGGAGCUGAAAGACUUUGGGUUACAAAUCCUAGGUUUUAACAAGGGAAGAUCUGUCUUUGGGAUGUUACAGCCGGAAAAGGAUAUCAUGGCUCAACGUGAACUGAAAGCUGAGUAGAACAUCAAGGACUUGCCUUCCAUUAGCCGGUCAUCUUCUGCUUCUCUGUAAGGUUGUUCAGGAUUGCCACAGGGCUGGCUUCAAACCCAACGAGUGCACUGAUCAGUCCGCUGGGGAGGAGAACUGGCAGCAGAAAAUGGCACUCAGAAUACCAGCGCUGUACGCCUGCUGUGUACCUGUGAGCCUGAAGCUUUAAUGCUGCACGGCAGUGGGUGCCUGGGGGCUCCAGGGUCCUUUUUAGUAACUGAACACUGGGUGUGCCAAAGUGAGCUGCAUCACGGAGACACAUUUCAGGGGAAAAUGUAGCUGUCAGGAAGAUUGAUGCUUUAGGAACAGACAGCAAGAGCUGCUAUUCACAGUGCUGAUUCUGACUGCAGCAAGAUGUCUGGUGCACACCGAAAAAUGCAGCACCCCCUCUGGGCACACACAGGUGCAAGUGGCAGGCUCGUGUUCCUGGGGGCUACUAGCUUCUCUAAAUGGGACGGCAGCUGCUGGCAGCCUGGGCAUUUCCUCUUGGAGGCAGCGUGAGCCCCUGGGACUCGCUCAGCUCCUGGAGAUGCUGCCAUCCGUGGCUGUCAGGACAUGGCAGUGAAGCACAAGGCAGGGAAUGACUGCGCAACCACACAUGGUACCCCAAAAACCAGUGCACUUUUAACCAGAGACAGCUCUGGGCAAGGUGAGCGAAGAUCGCACGCGAACACAGAGACUGGGGAGGAGGUUGUGGUGUGCUGCUGAGCAGAGGAAUUUAAUUAACCUCCUCUGUUGAUUUGGAUGGAGAACUGCCUUCUCUUUUCACGGCAAAGGAGCCCAGGGAAACUGGUGAGAGCAUCUCCACCUUCCUGGCAUCCCCCAGCACACAGGGUGAUACAGAAGGUGCAGCUGAGUCCUGCUGAACAUCCCUCCAGGCCUGCUGAAAAACAACUUGAACAGUGAACAAAGCACCAAAAGAAGAAGCACAAGAAAGGGCCUGAGGCUGCAUACCCCGAGGAGGAGGAGAAACUUCCCUGCACCCUCAGCGAGGGGCCACGCGAGCAUCAGUAAAGGUGAUCUUAAGAGCUCCAUCCUCAGCAUUUUCUCCCUGCUAACUCCAGAUAAUGCCUUGGUCCACUGCUGGCAUUUCCCCAUCCUGUGGCCAGCACCAAAACGUGGACCUGCAGUACCCUCCGUCGGGCACCGCGGCGAUACCAGCUCUGCUCAGCACCCUCCUCUCCAGCUGAGUCCUGGGGAGCAGAGCUGCACUUUUGGUAGGUUAUCGCAGUGUUUUCAUUUUGUAGGCUUACCUCCCAGUUUGUUCUGUUUGGUAGGGAGCAUUGGGUGUUAUUCCCCUGCAGCCCUCGUGCCUACAGCAGAAGGGAAGGUUUAGAAGAGCUCAUUGGAAUUCACAGGGAGUGGCGAAGUCCCAUGUGAAGAAGUUUAAUCUGAGCCAGCCUUUGAGAAUGGCUUAUUGCAGCCUUCUGCAUCACCCACAAACACUGUAGGGAAAAACAGGGAAGGAGAGCAGUGUUAGAUAAGCUGCUUUAAAAUGAUCUUCAUAAUCCUGCAAAUUAAAAUUUAUUUUAUUAAAUACCCAUUACAGAUGCAAAAUAACCCAAGAAAGGCUGGAAGUGACCCUCCCCACAGGCAAUUCAUGGUAGUCCUGCAGCUGCAACUGGCUGUCACCGAAACAACAGAUCUCACCCCUCCAAGGAGCCAGCCCUUGGUGGCAUGAGAUGCCCAGCCUUGCCUGGGGGACCUGCCCAGGGCAGCCUGUCUCCCCGGCACAAGCCAUAACAUUAAUACUUGCUUGAAAUUAGAUGUGAGGGCUGCCCCCCGAGAUACUUUGCAGCCAUUGACAUGGGGCUUUCCAACCCCCUUGCAGCUCCAGCAUUUAUUGCUGUCGAGUGGCACAACAGGAAGGAAGAGGACAAAUGGAGCAGGGGAUGGCCAAGAAGGGCUGGUAUCAUGCAGGGUUUUCAAAACUUGCCCAUUUGCUGCAAGUUCCUUGUAAAAGAUGAGCAAGAGAAGGCUUAGAAUGUUGGGUUACACCAUCAGCUUUAUUCUCACCAAAGUGCCUGUCUCACAGAAGCUCUGCCGAGAAGCGUGCCCCCCAUCAGCUGCAUGUGGCAGCAAGGAGGCAAAGCAUCUUGGCCACGAUCACCGAGGGAUCUCUCCUAGAAUUUAGAGUACAUUUAGCUGCUCAUUCAU